AUACGUAGGUGGCAAGCGUUGUCCGGAAUCAUUGGGCGUAAAGAGCAUGUAGGCGGGCUUUUAAGUCCGACGUGAAAAUGCGGGGCUUAACCCCGUAUGGCGUUGGAAACUGGAAGUCUUGAGUGCAGGAGAGGAAAGGGGAAUUCCCAGUGUAGCGGUGAAAUGCGUAGAUAUUGGGAGGAACACCAGUGGCGAAGGCGCCUUUCUGGACUGUGUCUGACGCUGAGAUGCGAAAGCCAGGGUAGCAAACGGGAUUAGAUACCCCGGUAGUCCUGGCCGUAAACGAUGGGUACUAGGUGUAGGAGGUAUCGACCCCUUCUGUGCCGGAGUUAACGCAAUAAGUACCCCGCCUGGGGACUACGAUCGCAAGAUUGAA
rnacentral:rRNA from 1 species